rnacentral:rRNA from 1 species
UACGUAGGGUGCAAGCGUUGUCCGGAAUUACUGGGUAUAAAGGGUGCGCAGGCGGACUUGUGCGUCAGGGGUUAAAGACUUCGGCUCAACCGAAGAAAAGCCCUUGAUACGGCAGGUCUUGAGUGUGAGAGAGGAAGGUAGAAUUCCUGGUGUAGCGGUGAAAUGCGUAGAUAUCAGGAGGAAUACCAGUGGCGAAGGCGGCCUUCUGGCUCACCACUGACGCUCAGGCACGAAAGCGUGGGUAGCGAACAGG